AUUGAACGCUGGCGGCAGGCCUAACACAUGCAAGUCGAACGAGUGGCGGACGGGUGAGUAAUGUCUGGGAAACUGCAUGAUGGAGGGGGAUAACUACUGGAAACGGUAGCUAAUACCGCAUACCAUCAGAUGUGCCCAGAUGGGAUUAGCUAGUGGGUGGGGUAACGGCUCACCUAGGCGACGAGCCCUAGCAGAUCUGAGAGGAUGACCAGCCAGACUGGAACUGAGACACGGGCCAGACUCCUACGUGAGGCAGCAGUGGGGAAUAUUGCACAAUGGGCGCAAGCCUGAUGCAGCCAUGCCGCGUGUGUGAAGAAGGCCUUCGGGUUGUAAAGUACUGUCAGCGGGGAGGCGUUACCCGCAGAAGAAGCACCGGCUAACUCCGUGCCAGCAGCCGCGGUAAUAC
rnacentral:rRNA from 1 species